CCUACGGGCGGCAGCAGUGGGGAAUAUUGCGCAAUGGGCGAAAGCCUGACGCAGCGACGCCGCGUGAGGGAUGAAGGUCUUCGGAUCGUAAACCUCUGUCAGCAGGGAAGAAAAUGACGGUACCUGAAGAAGAAGCCCCGGCUAACUACGUGCCAGCAGCCGCGGUAAUACGUAGGGGGACAGCGGUCCCCGGAUAUACUGGGUGUAAAGGGGGCGCAGACGGCGAUGCAAGCCAGGAGUGAAAGCCCGGGGCACAAACCCGGGACUGCUCUUGGGACUGGUUGGCUAGAGUGCAGGAGGGGCAGGAGGAAUUCCUGGUGUAGCGGUGAAAUGCGUAGAUAUCAGGAGGAACACCAGUGGCGAAGGCAGCCUGCUGGACUGAAACUGACGUUGAGGCCCGAAAGCGUGGGGAGCAAACAGGAUUAGAUACCCCUGUAGUC
rnacentral:rRNA from 1 species